rfam:Vibrio phage VH7D, complete genome.
GCCCGAUUAGCUCAAUUGGAAGAGCAGCGCCCUACGAAGGCGAAGGUUACAAGUUCGAAUCUUGUAUUGGGUG